UCAGAGUGAAUGACAAGUGUCAAAAAAAAAAAUCCUUCAUUUAUUAGGUGAUGCUCGAUGACGCUUUAUUUUCCGUGUAAGCGUUUUGCUAGAUUUCCAAACUAAAAAUUUUCUUGAUAAAAAAAAUAAAAGAAAAAAACGAAAAAUUGUCCUCCCUUCCUUUAAUCUCUUUCUCAAGGUCGAAGAUCAAUAAUCGAGGUAUGUUCGCCGCCUUCGUCUUCACCACUUCCAUAGUUACAUAUGGUGCCAUUGAUUGCCGAUAAGUUUAGGAUUCUAACAGUGGGUUUAGGUGAAUUGGGUGAAACUAUGACGCCUCAAGCCUACGCUCUGCCCUGAAGCGGCAUCCAUGAAAUUCUGAAGAAGGGGAUUCUAUUACAUGCAUUAUCGAGGUAUGGUUCUAUACUUGUAUUUGUAUACUGGCUGUUAAAUGAUAACAUUGUUGUUCGAAACGAACCCACGGCCCGAUUAUCCAUGUGAAAAAAUUUAAGCAGAAGCGUCCCUCCCUCUUCGUCUUCUCUAUCAUAUUCAAAGUUUAGAAACGUAAGCAUUUUCAGUACCGUCUCUUCUCUUCUAUAUUUAAUCCUGCAUUUGUUUUCUUUUUUGCUUGACAUUCGUACUCGAUCUCAAUCGGAUUCGGCGACUCUCUGUUUCAUUUACCUUCGUUCCACGUUCAAACCGUUUUCGCCCAAAUGAUUUUAUAAAAAAAUAUAUAUCUUCUCAUUCUACUUUUUUCCGCUAUUGUAUAUCCUAAUAUUAGCUUCAAAAGCAAUUUAUCAAACAUCUCAACGUUAUUUUACAAAAUUUUGGCUACUAUUAAUGUUUUUUGGACGCUCACAUAUAGCAGUUUUGUUUGAUAAUUAAGUUUUGACUAAUGUAUAUAAGCGAAUUUGGGUUAAACAUUUCCGCCUCCUGUUAUUAUUUGUGCACAACAAAUAUCUCCUUCUAAUUCUUUAUGUAGUUUUGCUUUGUGUUAUGCUACAGCUAGGUUUUGUAUUUCAUAGUGACACCUGCUUUUGAGGACUUGAAGCCAACAAUCUGUGUAUGAAAAUAGUAUCAAAUAGGGAAGAUGAAAUCUAAUGAUCAAUUCCUAGAUUACUUGUUAACAAUACUCUUUCAACUCACUCACAUGUAGCCCAGAAGUUUGAAUGGCUCGUGGAGUAGUUAUUUUUGUGGCUGUUUUUCUCUUUACAAGGAAAAACAGCAAGAACUAGGAGUUCAUAUCUUCAAAAAUUAGUAAGAUUUUUAUCGAUUUCUUUAAGUUGAUACAAAUACCGGCACAGUAUUUGCAAAAAUGUCUGGUGACACUCUUCUAAUGUUACCAAGACGCCAUGGGAGAGAAGGUGGGAAAGCUAUACAACUUUUAUUAACUGCCGGAGGCUUUGUGAUCGCUUCCAUAAGAGGAUGGCUUUGAGAGUUUAUGCUUUUCUACCUACAUUGAUAACAUCGAACAUUUUGGCAUUUCAUAGGGUAACCUUCUUAGGAAUCUCUUACUUUCGUAAAUCGUAACUGUUAAGCUUUUUGUGGAGUUCUCCUUUUUGUGAAUCUGUCGGGCAAGUGCUGAAAAGGUAAAAAGGAUAUUGUUUGAGCAGUGUCUACUUUCAAGCUAAAACUGGAUUAGAAAUAGACUUGACAGUUUUUCAGCUUCUAACCCUAAAAUUGUUGUUCAAGUUGUGGUUGUCACUGUCUUGGUGUGCCUUAUUCGUUGUUUGCAGGUUUAUGUACAAGUCACGCCAUCUGAUGCUAUAUAUUUUUACCGAUCUUUUUCUUUUCAUUAAUUCUUUUAUUGAUUAAAUGUUGUUUCUUUCCUUUCUAAUAGUCUAUAGUUAAGCGAUUUUUCAGUAAUUUAGCACUUGAGAAAUUUCAUAGCGUAAUAAAGAAUAGCAGAAGUUGGCAAUGAUUCUAACGUGUACUGAGUUUUUAGUUCUUUACCAUUGUGUAAUUGUAAGUCUAAUAAAAACC